GACGAACGCUGGCGGCGUGCUUAACACAUGCAAGUCGAACGGUGAAGCUCCAGCUUGCUGGUGUGGAUCAGUGGCGAACGGGUGAGUAACACGUGAGCAACCUGCCCCUGACUCUGGAAUAAGCGCUGGAAACGGCGUCUAAUACUGGAUAUGAGAAGGUUUCGCAUGGACACUUUCUGGAAAGUUUAUCGGUUGGGGAUGGGCUCGCGGCCUAUCAGCUUGAUGGUGAGGUACUGGCACACCAAGGCGACGACGGGUAGCCGGCCUGAGAGGGCGACCGGCCACACUGGGACUGAGACACGGCCCAUACGCAUACGGGGGGCAGGAGUGGAGACUAGUGCACAAUGGGCGAAAGCGUGAUGCAGGGACGCCGCGUGGGGAAUGACGGCCUUCGGGUUGUAAACGUCUUUCAGCAGGAAAGAAGCGAAAGUGACGGUACCUGCAGAAGAAGCACGGGCUAACUAGGG
rnacentral:rRNA from 1 species